GUUUGAUCCUGGCUCAGGACGAACGCUGGCGGCGUGCUUAACACAUGCAAGUCGGACGGUGAUGACAGGGCUUGCCUUGUCGGAUCAGUGGCGAACGGGUGAGUAACACGUGAGUAACCUGCCCCAGACUCUGGGAUAACUCCGGGAAACCGGAGCUAAUACCGGAUAUGACCCUUGGACGCAUGUUCUGGGGGUGGAAAGAUUUAUUGGUUUGGGAUGGGCUCGCGGCCUAUCAGCUUGUUGGUGAGGUAGUGGCUCACCAAGGCGACGACGGGUAGCCGGCCUGAGAGGGCGACCGGCCACACUGGGACUGAGACACGGCCCAGACUCCUACGGGAGGCAGCAGUGGGGAAUAUUGCACAAUGGGCGCAAGCCUGAUGCAGCGACGCCGCGUGAGGGAUGACGGCCUUCGGGUUGUAAACCUCUUUCAGCAGGGAAGAAGCUUUCGGGUGACGGUACCUGCAGAAGAAGCACCGGCUAACUACGUGCCAGCAGCCGCGGUAAUACGUAGGGUGCGAGCGUUGUCCGGAAUUAUUGGGCGUAAAGAGCUUGUAGGCGGUUUGUCGCGUCUGCUGUGAAAAUCCGGGGCUCAACCCCGGACUUGCAGUGGGUACGGGCAGACUGGAGUGUGGUAGGGGAGACUGGAAUUCCUGGUGUAGCGGUGGAAUGCGCAGAUAUCAGGAGGAACACCGAUGGCGAAGGCAGGUCUCUGGGCCACUACUGACGCUGAGAAGCGAAAGCAUGGGGAGCGAACAGGAUUAGAUACCCUGGUAGUCCAUGCCGUAAACGUUGGGCGCUAGGUGUGGGGCUCAUUCCACGAGUUCCGUGCCGCAGCUAACGCAUUAAGCGCCCCGCCUGGGGAGUACGGCCGCAAGGCUAAAACUCAAAGGAAUUGACGG
rnacentral:rRNA from 1 species